GGAGAAAUGGCAGAGCGGUCGAAUGCGGCGGUCUUGAAAACCGUUGUACAGCAAUGUACCGGGGGUUCGAAUCCCUCUUUCUCCG
rnacentral:tRNA from 3 species